UCCACGCCGUAAACGAUGUCAACUAGCCGUUGGGACCUUGAGGUCGCAGUGGUGCAGCUAACGCGUGAAGUUGACCGCCUGGGGAGUACGGCCGCAAGGCUAAAACUCAAAUGAAUUGACGGGGGCCCGCACAAGCGGUGGAGCAUGUGGUUUAAUUCGAUGCAACGCGAAGAACCUUACCUACCCUUGACAUCAUCAGAACUUGUUAGAGAUAACUCGGUGCCUUCGGGAACUGAAUGACAGGUGCUGCAUGGCUGUCGUCAGCUCGUGUCGUGAGAUGUUGGG
rnacentral:rRNA from 1 species